rnacentral:rRNA from 1 species
GACGAACGCUGGCGGCGUGCUUAACACAUGCAAGUCGUACGGUAAGGCCCUUUCGGGGGUACACGAGUGGCGAACGGGUGAGUAACACGUGAGUAACCUGCCCACAACUUUGGGAUAACGCUAGGAAACUGGUGCUAAUACUGGAUAUGUGCUCCUGCUGCAUGGUGGGGGUUGGAAAGCUCCGGCGGUUGUGGAUGGACUCGCGGCCUAUCAGCUUGUUGGUGGGGUAGUGGCCUACCAAGGCGGCGACGGGUAGCCGGCCUGAGAGGGUGACCGGCCACAUUGGGACUGAGAUACGGCCCAGACGCCUACGUGAGGCAGCAGUGGGGAAUAUUGCACCAUGGGCGCCAGCCUGAUGCAGCAACGCCGCGUGCGGGAUGACGGCCUUCGGGUUGUAAACCGCUUUCAGCAGGGACGAAGCUUUUUGUGACGGUACCUGCAGAAGAAGCACCGGCUAACUACGUG